rnacentral:lncRNA from 1 species
AGUGGGGAGAUUCACACGUUCUAAGAAGGCUUGAAACUCUUUGGGGAUUAUCAACAGUAUUUAAAGGAAGGCAAUGGGACUGAGGUUUGGGGGAGAAGUUCUAACUGAUGGCCUUGUCUGCCUAACCCCUACCCUUUCCUCCCAUUACAACAUCUCCCACAGCAAGUCCCACAGCGGCACCAUGAAAGCCUGGGCUUUCCUUCCAUGAGCCAGGAGCCCGCUGGUCAAAGCCUCUGAUCAAAGCCUCUCCCUGCACAGGGGUGCACUGUGCACUGCAUGUGCCCUGGGGCAUUCCGGAGGGGCACUUGGAGGCCAGCCCUGUGGCCUGUCUGCUUCCAGCUUCCUUCACAGAGAUGACUGGAGAACUGCUGGUUUAGUAGAUCCUGACCUCUCUAUUAGAUAUCUAAACCCACUCUGGCCUUAGAGAUGCUGGGCAGUUUUGCCCACUCUAAGAAACCUUUCACAAGGCUCCUUACUCCUUUACUCCGUGUACUCUGUAAAAAUAGUCUGCUUGCUUUUUCUGUAACUCCUGCAAAGUGUUUCAUCAUUUUAAAAAGGAAAAAGAAAA